GAAAUGACUCUCCUAAUCACAGUAAAUUGUUACUGUGGUCCUUCUAAAAGUAAAAUUUUUAAUGCAGAGUUUUGGCACUUCAACCCCAACAUUAUCAAAAAUAUACUAGUUAUGCAUUGGUCCUUUCAUAUUAUCAUUUUUUUCACUCUCUGUUUUAUAAAUGACUGUGAUAUUCACAUUUAAAAUAUAUAUUCAUUUUAUCAAAACAAAUAGACAAAAUAUAGAAUUGAAUGAAAUUUCAGUGAGAUUGCGAGGUCCUUGAGUUGACCAUUUAUGAUGAUUGACUGUCACUUUAAAAAAAGAAAACAAUCAUGCAAGCAAACCCUUAAAACUCUUUCACAACGCCACAACAGAUCACAAUGGCUACAUUUUAUAAGUACACGCAAGCUUUAAAACACACAAUUAUCUGUCAAUUUAUUGGUCUAAAAUCAUAUUCAGUGUUUUAUUUAUAUAAAAUCUUCACAUAGAGUGUAAAUGAACAUUAGUGCACAUUCAGGGGCUCUUAAAGUUGAACGAAAAUAAGAAUGGAAAGAAAACCGUGUUGUAAAUGGAAAAAUGUUUUUCAAAAGACAUUAAGAAGUCAUGUGCUCUGUUAUUGUAUGUUACUGCCAUGACCUCAGUUUUGAGCUGCAGAGAUAUGAGAAAUGUGUUGCACCACUUGCUGGAAUGUCAUAGAGUCAUUGCGGCAGUGUGGCGAGAUCAGAGAUGGAAAUUCUGUGCAAAACGUGUGUGUGUGUGUGUGUGUGUGUGUGUGUGUGUGUGUGUGUAGGCUAAUGUAUUUUCCUAUACCUCAUCACAGACCACAGCUGGACAGAUCCUGAAGACAAGAGUGUAUGGAGGGUGUGUUGUCUGUAGACUGUAGCAUGCUUGACUUCGACAAACAAGAGUGACCCACAACAGCAUCCUAGCAAGGUGAAGUGUGUAAUUUCUGUGCCAGUACUAGCACCAUCUAAUGUGAUUGCAAAAUUAAUGAUUGAUUCCAAACUGGGGUUUUUUUCCACUCCUUUUCUGUUGUUAUUCAAACUUGGCUAAAUGUUUAGAAUUGAAUAUUUAAUACUACUAUGCAGUAUGCAGUGUAUAUUCUAUGAUUUUAAUCAAUUGGUGUGUAAAAAUUUGUUCAAAUAAUGAGGCAAAAAGGAAUUAUAAAAAUGAUAGUUGAUAUUGCUACCAGUUUGUUCAUCAAAUUGGAUGUAAAGUCAAUUUAAUUGCAUUAAUGGUAUGUUGUAUACUGCACAUUUUGCAAUUGUAGUACAUUAAGUUAUUCUAUACAUACAGAAAUUUGCUAGUAUGUAUAAAUCAGGAAGUGACGUCGACUAAUCUUCUAC
ensembl:lncRNA